UUAGAAGCCGAAAGGCUACUUAAAACCAUCGCGAACUCGUCCAAGUUGCUUCGGCGGCGCGGCCUCCCUCACGGGGGGCGCCGCAGCCCCGCUCUCCGGAGGUGUGGGGCGCCCGCCGGAGGUACGAAACUCUGUAUUAUAGUGGCAUCUCUGAGUAAAAAACAAAUAAGUUA
rnacentral:misc_RNA from 1 species